rnacentral:rRNA from 1 species
AUUGAACGCUGGCGGCAGGCCUAACACAUGCAAGUCGAGCGCGCGGCGGACGGGUGAGUAAUGUAUGUGGAUCUGCCCGAUAGAGGGGGAUAACUACUGGAAACGGUGGCUAAUACCGCAUACUCACGGAUGAACCCAUAUGGGAUUAGCUAGUGGGUGGGGUAAAGGCUCACCUAGGCGACGAUCCGUAGCUGGUUUGAGAGGACGACCAGCCACACUGGAACUGAGACACGGCCCAGACUCCUACGGGAGGCAGCAGGGGGGAAUUUUGGACAAGGGGGGAAACCCUGAUACAGCCAUGCCGCGUGUAUGAAGAAGGCCUUAGGGUUGUAAAGUACUUUAAGCAGGGAGGCGUUACCCGCAGAAGAAGCACCGGCUAACUCCGUGCCAGCAGCCGCGGUAAUAC